CGGCGGUGAGAACCCGUUCCUGGGCGUGGCCUACAUCGUGGUGGGCACGCUCUGCCUGCUGCUGGGGAUCGUGCUGCUCGUCAUACACGUGCGGUGCUCCAAGAGGUAACUACUGACCUAUAGUGAACCUUACGUCUUUGAGAUAGGGUGUAAUGCUGCUCGGCGGUGAGAACCCGUUCCUGGGCGUGGCCUACAUCGUGGUGGGCACGCUCUGCCUGCUGCUGGGGAUCGUGCUGCUCGUCAUACACGUGCGGUGCUCCAAGAGCACCACCGAGAUGAUCAACGUGAACCCGCGAACGCCGUACUCCUAAACGGUGUCACAGGUAACGCUAUUCAGAAUCAAUCCGUCUCUAUCUACCAAGUGGUGCCAGAAUGGGACGAAUAUCUUUAUCAUCAUCAUACCUAGGUCUAAUAGAAAUUGUCAGGCCGGUGGACCAUAUCAGUAACAAAAAUGUGUAGACAUUAAAAUAUAUUUUAUAUUCUUUUUGGAUGACAGUGCUAAUAAUAAAAACCGGUCUGUGGGGUUCCGUAGUUGCCCGUCCGUCACAAAAGGCAAAGUUUAUAGGCAAAUUCCUGGUUGAAUACGGAACUCUAAUAUUUGUUAUAUCCGGUUAAACAAGUUUGUUAGUAAAAAAAGGCGCGAAAUAAAAAAAAUAUUGGGAUGAUAACCCUUCGCGUCUACAGUUUUUAAAUUUGCUCCUUUUUUACUAACGGAAAUGGCUUGACAGAGUAUAAUUACUCUGUUUUAUAGGAUUUUGCUACUGAUAUGGUUGGCUAGCCCACUUAGAGUGCAAAACAAUCUUAGCACCAACGCAACGAUGCCUUUUCCAACUACUGUAGGUACUACCAAAGAGUUAUUAACUGAAAAGUUGCGUGAAAUAGAGUCGCUAGAUUGCCCCAAACUCUUGUAUGAAUGUUUCGUCGGGUGACAAGCAAAAGUCACUAAGGACUAUCAAAAAAUUAAAGUAACAAUGCACUUUAUUACACUUGUAACACGGUUUAUUGUCCAAUAAUUUCAAUGGUGUUUGUUAGUGACUUUUGCUUGUCACCCGACCGUUUGAAAGUUGUUACUAUUUUUAACAUCUCGUGGUUAACAUUUAGGUGACAAGUAAAAGUCACUAAUUAAAAAAAAAUUAACAAAAAUCGACCUUCUUUUAGUACUUAUAUGGUUCACUAUGGCUAUGAACACUAUGGCUUGUGGUGGUACUUAGUGACUUUUGCUUGUCACACGACGAUUUAAUGACAAAGUACUCUUGUUACCUUUUUGCUCUAUGGUCCUUGACACUUUUGAAAAAAAUAAUACAUAUUAUCAAGUAGAAGUUUUUUUUAUUAACUUUAUAUACUAAAAAGUUGCACGUCCACAGUUUAUUUUGAUGAAAUUUUAAAAAUUAUUUGAAUUAAACGUAAAUAAAGAUACAAAAUACCUAGUUAUAUUUUUUUGAGACCACGUAUGAAUCCGAUUUGCAUUUUAUCCAAUUUUAGUUGCAGUCUCUAAAAAUGAAAACAAUGAAAUGUCAUUGUAAAUUAAAAUAGAAUGGAAUGUAUUAUUUUAUUAGCAAGCGUGUACAGUCAACAACAGAGCUAUGAAUACAGGCAAAGUGCCAAUAAUAUGUAUACACCUUAAUGUACAGGCAAUAAAGUACUGUAUACAUAUUUUUGGCACUUUGCCUGUAUUCAUAGCUCUGUUGUUGACUGUACACGUGUGAUUGUGUGUCACCCCAUGAAGACGUCCAUAGGCUACGAUAAUCACUUACCAUCAGGCGGGCUGUAUGUUUGAUUGCAAACAUUUUAAAUUACAACUACUAAUAUUAACUGUAUAAAUGAGUUAACGAAAAACGAAAGUUUGCACAUUUUCGUAUUCUCGAUUUGAAAAGUACCUACUCGAUCGUAAGAUCAAGUUCCUUAUUAAGGUUGAUUAUUGCUUAUUUAAACAACUUUUGUGCAGGAUGUGGGUCUCGGAGUAAUUAACAAUGGAGCCGCCAUUAACAGGCUUUCCCCUCUGUCGAAAAUAGGCGGCCAAUGGUCAACCACAUGUCAACCAUAUGUAUGGACUGACGUUUAUCUGACAUGACGUACCUAUACAUUUGAUGUGCCCCUCCCCCGCAAAAACGGCAGACUAUUUUGUACCGAAAAUUUUAGACAUGGCGUCUCCGUUGGUUAUACCCUCUAAGAUGUGGGUAUUUAAAAUCUAUAUUUUACAUAUUUUAUGUAGAAAUGGUAAAUUAACAAUUAUUUGUUGUGUUUAAGUAUUGUUUAAUUUUAAUAUAAAAUAUUUCAGAAUUAUUGCACAUGAUACUUAAAUAAAUUACUUACACACGUAGAUGUGUUAGAUUUUUGUUAAAAUUGUAAAGUAGAGACAAAAAAUAACGGCUUCGAAUAUAAAUUGAUUAUAAUGUAUUCUCUAAAUAAUGAAUUAAUUAAUCAACUACUUUGCCAUUUUGCCAAUCUCUUGAGUUAAGUGAUAGGUCUUUACAUGCGAAUCAGGCCCUACCGUGAAAACCGAAACUUGAAAUUUCGUUAUAGAAAAGAAAGAAAGAAAAUAUACAUUUAUUUACGUCAAACAAAACCAGUUAAAUUAAAAACAAGACAUAGGUCAGAUGGACCUUAAAAAGGACCCCCCCCCCACUCAGCGAAUAUGCAAGAGCGAUAGAGAGGCAUAGGUAUAACGAAACUUCGAUUUUCGUUUUUCGCGGUAGGCGUUCAGUAAAUUAACAAGUUUUGUGCUAAAUGGCAUCCCAAUGCCUACAGCCGUAUUCGAACAAUGAGAUACGUCAAAUACUAGAUAUUGAAACGAUAUGGAUUGGAUAUGUCAGUGUCAAAAAUGACGUUUUUGUUUGAAGAAAAGUCAAUUUUGACACUUGUUUGAAACUGACAUAUCUAAUCCAUAUCGUUUCCAGAUCUAUUAAUUGACUUAUCUUAAAGUUAGAAUCGGACCGCUAGUCUCAAUUAAAGGUUGCAUUUGAGUUAGUAGACAUAACAUUUUCUGCGGUAUGUAAAUAUAAAAGACAUAUUAAUGCAAUAUAAGUAUAUAUCAUAAAAGGAUAGAUUCCUUCUGUAUUAUUUUGUAUGUAUCUCGCUCUUUGCUUUAAAUUGAAGUGAUACUAACCUGCGAUUUAUUUAUUGAAAUAUUUUUUAUUUGAACUAAUGUUUUAGUUCGUUUUUUUAGCAUUAGAAAUAAGGUAAACAAUCUUGACGUGUCUUUUAAAUGAAAAACACAUGUUAAAAAUAAGUUACGGCAAUUAUGUAACAUUUAUGAAUCUAAUACGAUCAUUUAUAUUCUUCUGCUUUCAUAAGUAAUAGUUAUAGAUUUUUAAAAAGCGUUUUUCAAUUAAAAGACAUGUUGAGAUCGCUUACCUUCUUCCAAGUUCUUUCUAAUGCUAAAAAAAACGAACUAUAGUUUAUUAAUUAGGAUUCAACUUAAAUAAUAAAUGUUAAUGAAUUUUAUUAUGUACUAAUUAAGAUUUCAAGUGCCUUCUUGUUCACAGUAGACGCUUUUGUGUAAUAUUCGAGCAUUAUUUCCAUUAUUACCGAUGGAUUAAUGAUUCAUAUUUGUAGCAUUCUAAUUAGCAACAAAAAUAAAUUAAAAGCAACGAUUUAAUGGAAUGCAUUUAUCUAUAAAAAGCGAUCGAAUGAUUAUUUUCCUGCGCAAGACGCGAUCUCGCAUAAAACCUAAGUUUUAUUGCAUAACCGCGACCACCGAAGUUCGCAAAUCGCGGGCAUCUUUCAUUGUCACUCUAAUUAUAUAAGUAAAAGAGAUAGAUGCCCGCAGUGGUCACGGUAGGCCCUCUGAUCCACACUUUAAAGUUUAAGAUGAAAUAGUGCUCUCGAGUUUGACAGCUGAAGAUGGCGGAAUUGUCAAACGUCAACUUCUGGCUACUGAAUAAUACCUACAUAUAGUCUGACAAAAAAGAGUAGAAAUGAAAAAGUGGCAAUACUGUAGUGUCGUCCCUUUCAAAUCAAUCUAUAUAAGAAAACGGGACGACACUACAGUUUGCCAUUUUUUAAUUUCUACGCUUUUUUGUCAGACUAUAGAGUCGUGCAGUGCCAUUCACAUUAGCUGUCAAAUUCCAACAUCAUCAAUGGGUCUUUGCAGAAAACCAAUGAGACGACUUUUUCAACUUACCGGAUUAACGCUGCGUCCUACGCAAGCGAACAACUCGCGAACGUGACGCGGCGCGGCGCGGCGGGCCCAAGGCAUUCGCGUUCGCAACGAGAUCGCCCACGUAGGACACUUGUAUAGGUAUCAAAGGAUUGAUUCACCCUGCUUCGCUUCGCGUUCGCGUGUUGUUCGCCUACGUAGUACGCUGCGUAAAUACGCAACGGUGUUUUAAAACGUGCGCAGUGUAAGAGUUACAUAUUGUGAGCAUAACUACCCGUACCUAAAGUCAAAAAUAUAGUAUAAGAAAUAUAAUACCUAUGAAUAAUGUAAUAUUCAAGCACUUGGACCAAAUCAUGAAAUAUAAUAAUAGCUUUUGAUAUGUAUGUAUAAUGCUUUUAUUAAUUAUUAAGUCAGUAUUAAUGCCCUCUGGAUUCUUAACAAUAACAAAUAUUUCUUUGAGAUUUGUUUUUUAGAGUUUGUUGUUAUUGUUAACGUAUUGAUUUCUAAAAACAUUGUAUAUCUCGUUUUAAAUUUGUCGUCUUUACUCAAAGAGAACAUAACUAUGUAUUCGUUAAAUGUGGAUGUUAUGUUACUGUACCUACUGAAUUGUUUUUCUGAAAUGAAUUUGACUAAAUUAAACAAUGAGAUGUUCAGAUACUAUGCGCCAUGAUAUGCAAAGUUUAUAGACAACAAUACAAUUGGACGUAGUUUAGGGUAAAAGAUCCAAUCCACAAAAAUUUGUUAGUGAAAUUUGAACUUUCUUUCAAACGGAAAAGUCAUUCAUUUAAAUGACAAAUUUUAGAGGAUGGAUCUUUUACGCUAAACUACGUCCAAUUUAAACCCGAAAUUAUUAACCUUUCUUAUGUUUGUGGUGGUUCAAACAGAAAAAAAAACAAUAAAAUAAUAUUGUCUUCGGUUACAAGCAAUAAAAUGACAAAACAUCGGCAAGGAUCAUACACAGACGAGAGACUAAGGCCUGAAACGAGACAACUACCAUAUUAACCCUUUAUAAGGCAGAGGCGAUAUAUCGACCACAUACGCUCAAUCAGAAAUUCAACCAUACUGUUUUAAUAAUAGGGCUCAAAAUCGUUUGCAUUAAUUGAAUAUUCAACUUGCUUUUAAAAUAGAUUUUUGAAAUGUAGGCUUCUGAUAGCUGCAACAAAUUCUGCGAUAGCACGUCCCUGUCAACGGGCCUUAUAAAGGGUUAAAGGAGUAAAUAGUGCGAAAUAUUGUAGCUAAAAUUUUGAUACCUAGCUGUAAUAGGCGUAACUGUACGACCACAUACAUCAUCAUCAUCAUCGGCCUACUCUCGUCCACUGCUGGACAUAGGCCUCUCCUAUUGCACGGCAUUGAGCAUGAUUUGCGGCAACUCUGAUCCAGCUCUUGCCAGCCACCUUGCGAAGGUCAUCGCUCCCUCUAGGCGGGUACAUACGCUUUGUGCUAACUGCAUAUAGUUACGUUAGUGUUUGAGCUACGCCAUUAUGGGCCGUAUUACAGGGCCGUUCAGCGCGAUCUUCUAAAUUCUAAAUUAUAUUUUGCACUAUUUUGUCUCAGAAUUUCUUUGUCUGUCAUAUAUUUUAAUUUAUCAUUAUUUCUGUAAGUAUGUAUACUUAUGUAUUUAUUUGCUAUUCGGAAUUAACUACACUUAUUGGAUCUCUAGGUACAAUAUGUAUUGAAUAUUUUAGAUCAAUGUUUUUAUGUCUUAGGAUUAGUUGUUACAUAUUAAAUAAAUGUUUAGAUAUUUAAAGAUAAUAACAA